CAGCACCUCAAGUGGUCAGGAUGAUUAUUGGGCCUAAAGCAUCCGUAGCCGGCUUUGUAAGUUUUCGGUUAAAUCCAUGUGCUCAACGCAUGGGCUGCCGAAAAUACUGCAUGGCUAGGGAGUGGGAGAGGUAGACGGUACUCAGUAGGAAGGGGUAAAAUCCUUUGAUCUAUUGAUGACCACCUGUGGCGAAGGCGGUCUACCAGAACACGUUCGACGGUGAGGGAUGAAAGCUGGGGGAGCAAACCGGAUUAGAUACCCGGGUAGUCCCAGCUGUAAACGAUGCAGACUCGAUGAUGCAUUGGCAUAAUAGCCAGUGCAGUGUCGCAGGGAAGCCGUUAAGUCUGCCGCCUGGGAAGUACGUACGCAAGUAUGAAACUUAAAGGAAUUGGCGGGGGAGCACCACAAGGGGUGAAGCCUGCGGUUCAAUUGGAGUCAACGCCAGAAAUCUUACCCGGAGAGACAGCAGAAUGAAGGUCAAGCUGAAGACUUUACCAGACAAGCUGAGAGGUGGUGCAUGGCCGUCGCCAGCUCGUGCCGUGAGAUGUCCUGUUAAGUCAGGUAACGAGCGAGAUCCCUGCCACUAGUUGCUAUCAUUAUUCUCAGGAAUAGUGGGGCGAAUUAGUGGGACUGCCGUUGUUAAAACGGAGGAAGGAAGGGGCUACGGCAGGUCAGUAUGCCCCGAAACUCUGGGGCCACACGCGGGCUGCAAUGGUAGUGACAAUGAGUUCCAAACUCGAAAGAGAGUGGCAAUCUCUAAACGCUACCACAGUUAUGACUGAGGGCUGUAACUCGCCCUCACGAAUAUGGAAUCCCUAGUAACCGCGUGUCAUUACCGCGCGGUGAAUACGUCCCUGCUCCUU
rnacentral:rRNA from 1 species